rnacentral:lncRNA from 1 species
CUGUAAUCAUGGAGAAUACACCGAGGAAUGUAACUGGCUCUGAGUCCUCAGAGAUAGUGAAUCCUCAAGCACCAGCUGGUAACAUGACAUCGCCAAGGCGUAGGCCUGAGGAACCUGUGGGAAUUGCCAACAGAGCUGCUCCAAUAACAUCACCAACCAGAAGACCAUGGGACUCGGUAACAGCAGCCACUGCUGAAAAGGCCUUGGAGAAGAUACGCAGGGAACGAAAUAAUCUGGUCAAAUUACUUCAAAACAUUGCUGGCAAGGUCUUGGAUGAGUUGCUCUGCCAGUUGGUGAUCACACAGCAGGACUACAAUCGAAUCAACAAAAGAAAGGAUGCAGAGGACAAAAUAAGACUAUUGUUGAUUGUGAUCCAGCAGAAAGGGGAACUGACCUGUAUGCAAUUUUUGGAGAGUUUACAAAACCUGUUGCCUGAUUUCCAACAGCACAUACAAUACCCAGG